UUCGCCGUCUCUCCUGCUUGUUCUGCUGGCCCGCAAUCGAAGCAGCAGGCAAGCUGCCAAGAGCUCCUUUUCUCCCGCCUCUCAGCUGAUCGGCGGGUGGGCGGGGCUUCCACGGAGGCCUCCGUGUAGGCCGCAGUGAAGCCUGAACUCGAGUAGGGCCCAAGCCAGCCAGGAAGGAGGAGGCAGCCAGAGUGUUCUCUGCAGCAGAAGACCCCUUGCUGCCCUGCUUAACCCAGACCAGCAUUUGCCAGCUUGGACUAAACUCUGCUGUCAUUACACUGGUGGAAACUGGCUACCAGUUGUUCAAGAACAGAAAAAUGUCCAGCCCAUUGAGGCACAAUUGGCUCCCAAUCGAAGCAAAGAAGCAGUUACAGUUUUGGAAAUUGGUGGCCGACAUCCUGACCAACCAAGAGAAGCAUAGGUGCUGCUGCUGAGUUCCAUAUUAACACAUAGUCCUGGUUGUGUACUGUUUUUAGAAAAACUAGACCUUUCAUGACAUAUCUGGAGCUGAUGCUAACUAGUGAGGGAUGUGGCAAUGUGCAGCAGCAAAUGUCAGGCAGGACAGGUGCUUAAUUCUAUCCCUGUCUGCCACUUGCCCCCAAAACUCUAUCUCCAAGCCACAUGUGGAGGAAGGGAAUUUUGGCAACUUACUCUUCCCCCAGAAGUAUACUAUGUGACCCUCAGGGACAUAUUUUCAGAUUAUACAGAUUAUACACACACACACACGCAAGUGCUGGUACUGUGUUAGUCAAACCUAUCAGUACUACCAUCAUGUGACAUUGCUGCUUUUUAAAGUAAGGAUGUUGGUCAAUAUUUCUACUUUAAGGACUUUAAAGAUGAGCUGAGGUCAAGAGUGUUUUCCAUCAUACAGUGAAUACUUAUGCUCAUUUUUCAAAAGGAUUUUUCUCAGAGCUUCACAUUUUAUCAACCAGGGUGUGCAAACCAUAUUUAACUGUAUUUAAUUGUUAUGGUCACUUAACAUAAUGAUUCCACAACAACAAGUGAAGCCUAUUUACAUUCUAUGAAAAUCAAAGACAGCGCGCUUGUCAAACGAGUCAUACCCUUUUGUUUGCUCUCCAGUCGCUGCUGAAAUGAAUCAAUAGCUACAGAUAACAUUUGCUGCAGCAGAAAGACGAUGAGUCAAGUGGCUUUUAGUUUAAGCAGAUCUAAUUGUUCUGUGGGUUGCUCAUUACCACUCAGUCAGUGUCUCAGUUCUAGGGCUUAGCGACUUUGAAAAUAUUCUUUGCAGUUAACCACUGCUAGGGAAAACAUGCAUUUAUGUUCAUAGGGGGUGGGGGAGGGGUGAUCAUAGAAUUUUAGUCUGAUGGCUAACUCUGCUUGGGUGCCACUUUGUGAUCACCUGGUUCAAGACCAAACCAGGUAAUAAUACUUAGCAUUUUCAUCAUGCUUCUUAUUGCCGUAACAAUUAGCGGGGGCGGGGAUGAAUGUUACAACAAUUUACAAUCAGAGAGGAAAACAUUAAGAAGCAACCAUAAGAGCAAGAAAAUUGGUAGGAAUUGCUUAUUGAGUGUACAAAGACUUCACGUGUGUUAUCUUUUCAUCAAGGUAAUUGUUGUUAUCCCCAUUUUGCAGCUGGAAAGUUAAGUCUGAGAGGGAGUGGCUUGCCUAAGACCACCAAGUGAGUUCAUAAUUGAGGUGAAAUUUGAACCAGGAAAGUUCACGCUGAAUUCAGACAUGAGCAGGGAAGAAAAGUUCCCUUCACCUCCAGUUUCCGUACCCACAUGUUUUAAUGCAGGCAACAGGCAUUUGCAGCGAAAAGGAACCCAUGGUUUCCUUUUGGUUCAAUGUGGAGUUUCGCCACCACAAUCUCCAUUUCUGCUGUGCCAGUGUUACAUCUGAAUGCUAGCACUGCAGUUUCAGCCCCAUAGAACCAGAGUUGAGGGAGGAAGCUCCUCCUUCACUCUGGCUGCCAUUGGCAGCUGGGGCUGUCCUUCAUUAAAGAAGGAAGCCCCGGAAGCCGGUUCCCCCUCCUUUCUGCAGUCUGCAUGACCGCAGAGAGGCAGUUCUUCAUUUCGCCUGAAUGCAGGCUGAAGAGUGGGGAGAGUGGAGAGCAGAACCGUAGGACCCCGCAGUUCAGCGUUACAUCCAAAAGCGGCCUCAUUCACUUAACUGCUGCAUUAACUCAAGACAGUUCUGGAAACUGGCAUUAGUUCUGAAUAGCUGCAUAACUGUGAAGGGCAGGUACACCUUGAGAUGGUGAUGGGGUGUUUAACCUUGCCUCACUUGCUACUUCCCCCGUGCAAUCCCUGUCCCCAGCCAGAGUCCUGGACAUAUUUUGCCAUUCUACCUAGAAGAGUGGCUUGAGGGAGGAGUUUCAGGAGCAAAGUGGCAGGCAGGGAAAGGACCAAGCACCUUUCCCUCCUGCCACUUCCCUGCUGCAUAUUGCCCCAUCUCUCACUAAUUUGCAUCAGCACCAGGUGUGCCACCAAAGAUAUAGUUUGCCCCAAGACAGAAGGCAAUUGGGACUAUGCUGCAAUAAUCUGCCUGGCAUGUGGAACUGGGUCCCUCCACCUCACUGUCUUCCUUCCUUCCUUCUCAUUUUAUAAGAAGAAAUGCCAUCGCUCAAUGCUGAAGCCACAUGCUUUGCACAGGAAGAGUUGCAGGUUCAGUCUUGGGCAUUCCCAGCUACACAAAGAACUGGAAAAGAGCCUCUGUCUGGAUCACUGGAGAACUACUGACAGCAGCUGGAAUUCCAUGCAAGCUUCCAUGCACGUUUUAAAUACAGCAUGCCUACACUUGUGCAAGUGUACUCUUGAGAACAUGCAAAAGCACACUUGUGUAACUGCAUGCAUGCUGUGCUACAACAUGCUCAGAAACUUGUGCAGUAUGUCAGCCAGUAGGAGUAGACAGGUGGGCUGAUUGUUUGACACUCAGCCGAAGGCAACUUCCUGUAUCACUUGAAGGCUUUCAGAUUCUUCAGCUUCCAUUGGAGAAUUUACCACUGGUUAAACUUAGUGUAUCUUUUCCUAUUCUCUACCAUUUCCUUUUAUUUAAAAGGUUUUGCAACCUAUGCAAAUGUUGAUGUUAAAAACUAUGGUCUAAACCAAAGAAGUCACGUUUGUGUCAUAAAAAUAUUUAUUUUGGUAAUGCAUGAUGAACUAUAUGAAAUGUUCUCACAAUAUGCCUUCGGAAAAGUGGAAAUGAAGGGUUUAUUUAUUAGUAUUAUCCUCAUGAUUGUUGUUGUUAAUAUCCUUUUCAGUUUUUAGGCAUGUUUUUUCUGGGGGGGAAGUCACUACAAUUAUAUCAAACCGUGUUAAAAUUUGUUUUAUUAUAUUCUACUAUUAUUAUACAAUGUAAUAUAAAAUCAGCACAUUCCAUCACAAUUUUUACUGGACAAAGCAUAUGCCCUCCAAGAUGAAGGUUGAUUUCUAUCAGCAACAUUUAUGUUGAUAAGUGUCCAAUGCAUUCCCAGCCCAAAAUGUUGUUGCAUAAAUGACGUUUUCUUACAUAUGUAGAAACGUAGGCUUAUAUUCUAUAACAUGCAGCUGGAUAUAUUUUGCACAGUGGGGUGAGGGAGGGGGGAACUGUAGUGGAAACUAUUUUUUUCUGCAGUUAGGCCUAUGGAAUUUAAUAAGGAAGUAGAUUGCUUUAGAAAAGAGAAAAGUAAUGGAAAAUAACAAUGAAUAUGGUUUCCUUUCUCUCUUCAUAACUUUAUACAAAAAGUUUAUUAAAGCCUUCCUUUACUCUUUCCCAUUCUUUGCCAGGCACCUACAUGCUUCUUGCUUCCUGGCAGUCUUUCUAUUUUAAAUUCCAUUCCCUUAUUAUUUUCUCUCUUUCAAUCUGUCUUUCUUUUUCUAUACAUUCUCAUCAUCUUUUUUGACUUUUUCUUUCUGUUAGAAAAUUCUGUGGAUUAGAAGGGGACACUCAUGGAUGGCAGUGGGCUGACCCUGCCAACUGUGCAGGAGGAAACAACGCUGAGAAUAAACCAUGGUGCAAAUAUUGGCUGACAUGAUGUGCAGCCUACUGCCUCCGUAAGGGUCUGCCCUGAGGCUUCUGUAGAGUUCAGAGGCAGCCCUGAUGAUGUUCUGAAGCAGGGAUUGCAGAAACUGCAUUUCUGGAGGUUUCCCCAUUUGCCACCGUAGUUCCAAAGUAGAUCAUUAUGGAAGCAGUAGACUGCACAUCAUGUCAGUCAAUCUCUGGAAGGAUCACAAUGUCCUAUUUGAAAUGGGCCAUAAAUGUUCAUUUUGCUGUGAGUACACAGAUGCUGAAAGGCAUCAUACUGCGUGGGAGAUGGCAAUGGUAAACCCCUCCUGUAUUCUACCAAAGAAAGCCACAUGGCUCUGUGGUUGCCAGGAGCUGAUACCAAUUCGACAGCACAACUUUAGUUUACACAGAUCAAGCAGCCAAUGGCAUGAGUGUUAAAUAUGUGAAAUGUUUCAUUACAAAAUGAUUAUAAAUUUAAUUUGCACAUUAGUAUGAAUCCUAUUCAGAUGUUUAGCAAAACAAUGAGGUACAUGUUUACAUGUACUGACAGAGGGUUGGAAGUGUUAGGGGGGAAAUAAAAUAAUAUCUAAAAUUUGAGCCUGGGGCACCCAAACCUGUUAGGGUUUAUGAGCAGGCUGUGUGUGUGUGUGUGUGUGUGUGUCUGCCUGUGCGCGUGCAUGCUAACACACUCCCAUUACAGCAGAAGCUAACAGGAUCUCGGAGGCAACAGCUUCUACAUUAUAAGCAUGGAAAUUGGUUUAAGGUUAAAUGAAUCUUCUUUAUUUAGUCUACAUGAUGAUAGGAAAGACCUAUACCCUAGCUGCUAGCUACAUAGUGGUCAGAGAGAGAGUCUUGGGGAAAAGAAGGAGGAAGUUGCUCCCAGGAAGUUCCUGAGUACAUAGUAUAAAGGAGGGGUCAUAGAAGCAGAGACAAAGCAGGAAGGAAACUCUUACUGACUAUCUCUGCUCCCAAUGCCACUAGUGGUCAUUAGGGUUAUUGGUGUAAAAGGUCAAUGCCUUGUGAAGCAGGAUCUCCAACAGAAAACUCAGUCCAGCCCAUGACUCACUGCAUUCUCCACACUACUCACAGAUAUGCCAGUGUUCAUUCGAAAAGGCAAAUGCUGUGUCUGUGGGGGUGGGUGCUUACAUGAUCAGCAGACUCAGGAGCCUAACUUAAGCUUGCCAAUCAUGGAAUCUCUCGCCAUCACAGAUACAGAGUUCACUUCUUCAAACAAAUGCCAGUGUAUCCAUGAGCGCUGCAAAAGUGUUAGUGAGUGAUGGGCUGAGAUGGGACUUCCAACUCACUUUUGGUGCAUGUAAGCAUGUACGGCUUCAUUUCGCUGAACAUCUGAAGAGGGUUAUGGUCAGCCUCACAUGUGGAAACUGACAACUUCAAAAAUCCAUGCCACAUUUCAGGAAAUGUCUGGAGUCCAUUGUUGUGAUGUGAAGAAACAAAGGUAUGAAAAGUUCUCCCUACCAAUAGAAAAGAUAGAAUUUAUUUAUUUAUUUAUUUAUUUAUUUAUUUAUAAUAUUUAUACCCCAUUGCUCCAGUACACUACUGCUCGGGGUGGCUCACAACAAUAAAAUAGAUACAAUAUACAAUAAAAGUAAUAAAAUUAACCAAAUUGAGUAAACAAGUUAAAAAUCAGGUUAAAAACCACAAUUUCUAUAAAGUUCAAAUUUUUUAAAAAAAUUUAAAAGCUAAAAACUGAGAGUUAUAAAAACUAAAAACUAAAGUACCUAUCAGAUAUAAACAAAAUUGGAGCAUUAAAAAGCCUCCUUUAAAAGGUGUGUUUUCAGUUGUUUUUAAAAACACUGAGGAAGAGAACAUGGCAAAGCUCUUCAGGGAGGGCGUUCCAAAGCCAAGGGGCCACAACCGAAAAGGCCCUGUCUCUAGUCCCCGCCAACUGGAUCUCUGUUAGUGGCGGGGCCAUGAGCAGGUCCUGAGACGAUGAAUGGAGGGCCCUGGCAGAUUCAUAUGGGCAAAUGCACUCUGACAGGUACCCCGGCCCCAAGCCGUGUAGAGCUUUAAUGGUCAAGACCAGCACCUUGAAUCUAGCCCAGAAACAGACCGGUAACCAAUGAAGCUGCCACAGGAUAGGCAUAAUACCCAUGAAAUGACUUGCACCCACGAGCAUCCUUGCAGCUGCAUUCUGGCUUGCACAGCUCCUUCCACUGGCCCUCUGACCUUCCUUCCCCAUGGCAUGCUAUACAGCUCCUUCCUUUCCCCUCCCCCUGCCAAGUGCCAAAACACUGGUGGCUUCCUUCCCACCCACCCCCACACAUAUUACAUCAUUCCUUCCUUCCCCCCUCCCUCUUCAUCAAAGGAGCAGCAUCCCAAGUGCUGGCUGGCUUCCUUCUUCCCCAGGAGCUUCUCCUUCCUUUAC